GUCUAUGGCCUCAAUACCUUAAAGGUAUCAGAUGCUGCGUGAUCAUGGAAACUAAGCAGGGUCAUCCUUGGUUAGUACUAGGAUGGGUGGCCACCAACAAAUAACUGGUACUAUCAACU
rnacentral:rRNA from 11 species